rnacentral:rRNA from 1 species
AGAGUUUGAUCCUGGCUCAGGAUGAACGCUGGCGGCAUGCCUAAUACAUGCAAGUCGAACGAGGAUCCUUCGGGAUCCUAGUGGCGAACGGGUGAGUAACACGUAGGGAACCUGCCCGCGCACCGGGAAUACGCUCUGGAAACGGAGAACAAAUCCCGAUGUACAGGAAGGAGGCAUCUUCUUUCUGUGAAACAUCCUGUUAAAGGGAUGGGGCGCGGAUGGACCUGCGGUGCAUUAGUUAGUUGGCGAGGGUAAAGGCCCACCAAGACGAUGAUGCAUAGCCGGCCUGAGAGGGCGGACGGCCACAUUGGGACUGAGACACGGCCCAGACUCCUGCGGGAGGCAGCAGUAGGGAAUUUUCGUCAAUGGGCGCAAGCCUGAACGAGCGAUGCCGCGUGAGUGAAGAAGGCCUUCGGGUCGUAAAGCUCUGUUGCGGGGGAAAAAGAGGCAUCUGCAGGAAAUGGAAGAUGACAGAUGGUGCCCCGCCAGAAAGUCACGGCUAACUACGUGCCAACAGCCGCGGUAAUACGUAGGUGGCGAGC